AGGACGAACGCUGGCGGCGUGCUUAACACAUGCAAGUCGAACGGUGACAGGGGAGCUUGCUCCCCUCGAUCAGUGGCGAACGGGUGAGUAACACGUGAGUAACCUGCCCCAGACUCUGGGAUAACAUCGGGAAACCGGUGCUAAUACCGGAUAUGAGACGAGACUGCAUGGUCAUCGUCUGGAAAGAUUUAUCGGUCUGGGAUGGACUCGCGGCCUAUCAGCUAGUUGGUGAGGUAACGGCUCACCAAGGCGACGACGGGUA
rnacentral:rRNA from 1 species